rnacentral:rRNA from 1 species
AACAUGGAUUAGAUACCCGUCUAUUCAUGUCGUAAAGUUGGCCGGUUACUACAAAUCACAAUUUAAAAUCUAAAGAACUUGGCGGUGUCUUAUCAUACCAGGGGAACCUGUUCCUUAAUUCGAUAAUCCACGAAACCACUACCACUAAUUGAAAAAUCAGCUUGUGUACUGCCGUCAUCAGCAUACCUUAAAAAGAAAACAGUAUGCAAUAAUAAUAAAAAUUAAUUAUGUCAGGUCAUAGUACAGCCUAUUUAGUGGAGGAAAUGGGUUACAAUCAACAUAUAGAUACCAAAUCAAGAACUAAAGUUCUGACAAAAGGUGGACUUGGCAGUAAUGAAAAGUAGAAAAUUUUCAUGAAAAUAGAUCUAAGACAUGCACACAUCGCCCGUCACUCCCCUCUAAAGAGGAGAUAAGUCGUAACAAAGUAG